rnacentral:rRNA from 1 species
GUAAACCCAAGGUUUCCAGGGGAAGGUUCGUCCGCCCUGGGUUAGUCGGGACCUAAGCUGAGGCCGAAAGGCGUAGGUGAUGGACAACAGGUUGAUAUUCCUGUACUACCGAUAACCGGUUGAGAGAGGGGAUGACACAGUAGGAUAAGCUAAGCACACUGUUGGUUAUGUGUGCCCAAGCAUUGAGGCAGUCAAAGUAGGCAAAUCCGCUUUGAUAAUGCUGGGAUGUGAUGGGGAGCGAAAUUU